CGCUGGUGGUGGGCGGAAGAGAUGACCAGUUCGGAGUCGGUCAGGACGGGAGCGAGGGCUCGCUCGAGGUUCGUGCCCUCACCGACGC
rnacentral:tRNA from 1 species